rnacentral:rRNA from 1 species
GAUGAACGCUGGCGGCGUGCCUAAUACAUGCAAGUCGAGCGAACGGACGAGAAGCUUGCUUCUCUGAUGUUAGCGGCGGACGGGUGAGUAACACGUGGAUAACCUACCUAUAAGACUGGGAUAACUUCGGGAAACCGGAGCUAAUACCGGAUAAUAUUUUGAACCGCAUGGUUCAAAAGUGAAAGACGGUCUUGCUGUCACUUAUAGAUGGAUCCGCGCUGCAUUAGCUAGUUGGUAAGGUAACGGCUUACCAAGGCAACGAUGCAUAGCCGACCUGAGAGGGUGAUCGGCCACACUGGAACUGAGACACGGUCCAGACUCCUAAGGGAGGCAGCAGGAGGGAAUCUUCCGCAAUGGGCGAAAGCCUGACGGAGGAAAGCCGGGUGAGGGAUGAAGGUCUUCGGAUCGGAAAAAGCUGGUAUUAGGGAAGAACAUAUGUGUAAGUAACUGUGCACAUCUUGACGGUACCUAAUCAGAAAGCCACGGCUAACUACGUG